rnacentral:rRNA from 1 species
UACGUAGGUGGCAAGCGUUGUCCGGAUUUACUGGGCGUAAAGCGUGCGCAGGCGGUUUUGUAAGCCAGAUGUGAAAUCCCCGGGCUUAACCUGGGAACUGCAUUUGUGACUGCAUCGCUGGAGUGCGGCAGAGGGGGAUGGAAUUCCGCGUGUAGCAGUGAAAUGCGUAGAUAUGCGGAGGAACACCGAUGGCGAAGGCAAUCCCCUGGGCCUGCACUGACGCUCAUGCACGAAAGCGUGGGGAGCAAACAGG